rnacentral:rRNA from 1 species
UUGAACGCUGGCGGCAUGCCUUACACAUGCAAGUCGAACGGUAACGGGCCUUCGGGUGCCGACGAGUGGCGAACGGGUGAGUAAUACAUCGGAACGUGCCCGAUCGUGGGGGAUAACGAGGCGAAAGCUUUGCUAAUACCGCAUACGAUCUACGGAUGAAAGCAGGGGACCGCAAGGCCUUGCGCGGACGGAGCGGCCGAUGGCAGAUUAGGUAGUUGGUGGGAUAAAAGCUUACCAAGCCGACGAUCUGUAGCUGGUCUGAGGAUGAUCAGCCACACUGGGACUGAGACACGGCCCAGACUCCUACGGGAGGCAGCAGUGGGGAAUUUUGGACAAUGGGCGCAAGCCUGAUCCAGCCAUGCCGCGUGCAGGAUGAAGGCCUUCGGGUUGUAAACUGCUUUUGUACGGAACGAAAAGCCUUCUUUUAAUACAGGAGGGUCAUGACGGUACCGUAAGAAUAAGCACCGGCUAACUACGU